rnacentral:lncRNA from 1 species
GCCGACCAUUACACAAUCUUAUUCUUCUAUGUCAUUUUUAGUUUACAGGCAUUUUUGAAUUGGCAUGGGAUAAAUACAACAAAGGCACAAACUUCUCUUAUACAGGGGCAACACCUGACCAUUACACAAUCCCAUGUUGUUGCCACAUAUAGGUAUAGUGAAAGACCCAGGUGAUUACAGAAUGUUUAUAAAGAAACAAAAUAUUAUAUUAUUAGUUUACUUAAAUCUGAAUUAUAUUUUCGCGUGUACUUUUGACAUAUUUUCCAAAUUAUUUAUAUUAUUAUAUAUAUUUAUAUUCAUUUAUUUUAUCUAUUUAUUUCCAAUAUUUUACUUUCCUCAUAACUUAAUUUUGUGUAUAUUCAAAAAAUGUAUUAAAAGUUUAAUAAG